rnacentral:rRNA from 1 species
AUGAGCAAUCUCCACAAGCUUUCUGAAUUUUCACUAAGUGGGAACAAGAUACCUGGAUCCAUACCAACAUCAAUUAAAUUGUUGCAAAAUCUCAAAUCACUUGACCUUAGCAACAAUCAUAUAUCAGGUGCAAUACCGUCAUGGAGCAUUGAGACAAUUUCAUCACUGGUAGUCCUUGAUUUGUCCAACAACGAGCUAACAGGCAAAAUUCUGCCUGACUUUGGCAACCAUUCAAUCGUGUCCCUCAAUUUGUCAUUUAACCAGCUCAAUGGGGACGUGUCCCUCUCUCUGCAAAGUGCAAAGUACAACCACAACUUCCAUGAAAAUCGUGGGCUUUGUCACAAGCGGGACUCGAGGAUAAAUCCGCCAAAAUGCCACAGAGGCACCCACCUCCAGAAGUGUGUGAUAAUCUUGUUAGUGCUUAAUGUCACGGUCAUCAUCACUUCUAUGAGCAUCAUCAUAUGGCUGCACUUCCGGCGCCGGAAGAACACACAAGUGGUGAAAGAAGUCGUGACUGAUUGGAAAAGGACACCAUUCACACCUUUGGACUUCAUGAAAUCCGACGUGGUCAACAACAUAUCUGAGGAUAAUUUUAUCAUCAACGACGGUCUGGAAAGGUGUACCGUGUCCACCUCCUAG